rnacentral:rRNA from 1 species
UGCGAGGCGCCGCGGUAAUCCAAAUGUGUUAGCGUUGUUCGGAAUUAUUGGGCGUAAAGCGUAUGUAGGCGGAUCAAAAAGUUAGAUGUGAAAUCCCUGGGCUUAACCUAGGAACUGCAUUUAAGACUAGUGAUCUAGAAUUUGGUAGUGGUUAGUAGAAUUUCCAGUGUAGAGGUGAAAUUCGUAGAUAUUGGAAAGAAUACCAGUGGCGAAGGCGACUAACUGGGCCAUUUUUGACGCUGAGAUACGAAAGCGUGGGUAGCAAACAGGAUUAGAUA